AGCAUCGAUAAAUUCAAUUGAGUGG
rnacentral:sRNA from 1 species